rnacentral:lncRNA from 7 species
AUUUUCCAACAUGUGUACUCAUUACGAGCAAUAAAUCUUGUGAGGCUGUAAGCAAGCACCAGAAAUACCAAAGCAGAAGUGCUCUAGGUAAAAUGAAGACCACAAGAUAAGCUUGUUGUAGAAUACACUAGCCAAACACAAUCUCUAUCAUCACUCACACAGAACAUAAAGGAACAUAUGCUCCACUCAAAGAUGUGUUUGUGUUGUAAAGUUAUGGCAUGCUUCCAGCCUGGAAGUGGGCUCCAUCCGACACAUCAACAUACAACACUAUUCAAGUUGUACACACCUAGUCCUAGGGCUUUAAAGUAAGAUGAGCACAGUCCUUACCUCCACUGGGAGAUGUAUAACGAAUACCAUUCCACAGCCUUACCCCUUCUGCCAUCACUUGUCAUGGUACCAAAUACAAGCAACAGGCAAGUAACAACAUAGAAGCUAUUUUUGUAACAGCCAUCAAAUAAGAUUAAACACUGACAAAAAGAGCAGGAUAGCAGAGCAUUUGGACCACUAUUUAUAACAGAGUUCAGUCUGAUGUCACAGGAAGAUACUGUCAGGGUAAAGAAGAAUUCAGCACACUUUUCAUCUUACAUAUACAAAAACAUAUAUACUUAAGGGAAAAAAAAGGUUAAAUAUAGAAACAGAAAGUGAACUUACUCUUCUGUAUUGUUCUGCUCUUUUGCCGCACCACUGCUACAACUUUAAUGUAAAGAAUAACUGAAAAGGCAGAGACAUAUUUUUCUGAGUGUUACUUCUUCAAUCCCUCCUCGUAACAAGUCAACAGAAACAAACUGGUGUACCACUGUAUAAAGUAAAACACACUUUCCUUGUACUUUCAAGUUCAACCCUUUUCGCCUCAGGAAUUCUCCUGGCUCACGGGUUUGAUGUCAGCCCUUGAUUGUGUUUUGAUGUUUCUGCAGAUCUACGAUUGAGUUCAAUUCUCAGCAGCCAAAACAGACAUUUGUCAUCCUGUAUGCAUCAAAUUUCCUGUGGCACACUGCCCACUUAAUCAUGCAGGCAAGGGGAGCAUUGACAGAGCAAGAGGCUGUCUGCGAGUCACUCUGACCUAGCAUGUGUGGAGUCACAUGAAAUAGAAGCUGAUUGGACAGAGCACAUUGGAUGGAACAACAACAACAACAAAAAAAAGCCUUCUUGCAAUUAAUCUGUGUAGUCACUCCAGUAACAAGCAAUGGAGUUCAUUCUGAAUCAUGAAGAUUAUUCUGCAGAUGAUGCACACAAAAAAGUGGCCCCUAGCAAGAACUGUAGGUUUCAAGGUAUGACAGCAAGUUCAAAAUCCAUCAGAAGAAUCACCAAGCCUGCUUUCUACCUUUGUAUAUAUAAAAAUAAAGCAGAAGUAAUCUAUGG